GACGAACGCUGGCGGCGUGCCUAAUACAUGCAAGUCGAACGCACAGUUUAUACCGUAGCUUGCUCCACCAUAGACUGUGAGUUGCGAACGGGUGAGUAACGCGUAGGUAACCUGCCUGGGAGCGGGGGAUAACUAUUGGAAACGAUAGCUAAUACCGCAUAAUAUUAAUUAUUGCAUGAUAAUUAAUUGAAAGGUGCAAUUGCACCACUACCAGAUGGACCUGCGUUGUAUUAGCUAGUAGGGGAGGUAACGGCUCACCUAGGCGACGAUACAUAGCCGACCUGAGAGGGUGCUCUGCCAAGCUGGGACGGGGGCACGGCCCAGAACCCUACGGGAGGCAGCAGGAGGGAAUCUUCGGCAAUGGCAGCAAGUCUGAACGAGCAACGCCGCGUGAGUGAAGAAGGGUUUCGGAUCGUAAAGCUCUGUUGUAAGAGAAGGACGGGUGUGAGAGUGGAAAGUUCACACUGUGACGGUAUCUUACCAGAAAGCGACGGCUAACUACGUG
rnacentral:rRNA from 1 species